AUCAACGCUGGCGGCGUGCCUAACACAUGCAAGUCGAACGAGAAAGUGGGAGCAAUCCAUGAGUACAGUGGCGACCGGGUGAGUAACACGUGACUAACCUACCCUCGAGUGGGGGAUAACUCCGGGAAACCGGAGCUAAUACCGCAUAACAUCGCAAGAUCAAAGCAGCAAUGCGCUUGAGGAGGGGGGUCGCGGCUGAUUAGCUAGUUGGUAGGGUAGUGGCCUACCAAGGCUGAGAUCGGUAUCCGGCCUGAGAGGGCGCACGGACACACUGGAACUGAAACACGGUCCAGACUCCUACGGGAGGCAGCAGUGGGGAAUUUUGCGCAAUGGGGGAAACCCUGACGCAGCAACGCCGCGUGGAGGAUGAAGUCCCUUGGGAUGUAAACUCCUUUCGACCGGGAAGAUACUGACGGUACCGGAAGAAGAAGCACCGGCUAACUCUGUGCCAGCAGCCGCGGUAAUACAGAGGGUGCGAGCGUUGUUCGGAAUUAUUGGGCGUAAAGGGCGCGUAGGCGGUGCGGUAAGUCACCUGUGAAAUCUCCUGGCUCAACUGGGAGCUUGCAGGCGAAACUGCCGUGCUGGAGUGUGGGAGAGGUGCGUGGAAUUCCCGUUGUAGCGGUGAAAUGCGUAGAUAUCGGGAGGAGCACCUGUGGCGAAAGCGGCGCACUGGACCACAACUGACGCUGGGGCGCGAAAGCUAGGGGAGCAAACAGGAUUAGAUACCCUGGUAGUCCUAGCCCUAAACUAUGGAUGCUUGGUGUAGUGGGUACCCAAUCCCACUGUGCCGCAGCUAACGCGUAAGCAUCCCGCCUGGGGAGUACGGUCGCAAGGCUGAAACUCAAAGGAGUUGACGGGGGCCCGCACAAGCGGUGGAGCAUGUGGUUCAAUUCGACGGCAACGCGAAGGAACCUUACCUGGGCUCGAAGCGCAGGGGGAAUGAGGUGGAAACAUCUCAGCCCGCAAGGGCCGCUGCGGAGGUGCUGCAUGGCUGUCGUCAGCUCGUGUCCGGUGAGAUGUUGGGUUAAGUCCCGCAACGAGCGCAACCCUUAUCGUCAGUUGCCAUCGGGUCAAGCCGGGCACUCUGGCGAAACCGGCCUCGGAUAACGGGAGGAAGGUGGGGAUGACGUCAAGUCCUCAUGGCCUUUAUGUCCAGGGCUACACACGUGCUACAAUGGUCGGUACAAACCGUCGCAAACCCGCGAGGGGGAGCUAAUCGGAAAAAGCCGGCCUCAGUUCGGAUUGGAGUCUGCAACUCGACUCCAUGAAGCUGGAAUCGCUAGUAAUCGCAGAUCAUGAACGCUGCGGUGAAUACGUUCCCGGGCCUUGUACACACCGCCCGUCACAUCACGAAAGUGGACCAUACUAGAAGCCGGUGGGCUAACCGCAAGGGAGCAGCCGUCCAAGGUAUAGUUCAUGAUUGGGGUG
rnacentral:rRNA from 1 species